rnacentral:rRNA from 1 species
CCUACGGGAGGCAGCAGUGGGGAAUAUUGGUCAAUGGACGGAAGUCUGAACCAGCCAUGCCGCGUGCAGGAAGACGGCUCUAUGAGUUGUAAACUGCUUUUGUACAAGGGUAAACCUGAAUACGUGUAUUCUGCUGAAAGUACUGUACGAAUAAGGAUCGGGUAACUCCGUGCCAACAGCCGCGCUAAUACGGAGGAUCCAAGCGUUAUCCGGAUUUAUUGGGUUUAACGGGUGCGGAUGCGGAUUGAUAAGGUAGAGGUGAAAUGUCCGCGCCUAACUCGGGAACUGCCUCUAAUACUGUUGAUCUAGAGAGUAGAUGCGGUAAGCGGAAUGUAUGGUGUAGCGGUGAAAUGCUUAGAGAUCAGACAGAACACCGAUUGCGAAGGCAGCUUACCAAUCUAUAUCUGACGUUGAGGCACGAAAGCGUGGGGAGCAAACAGGAUUAGAUACCCUAGUAGUC